rnacentral:rRNA from 1 species
AAACCGGAGCUAAUACCGGAUAAUAUUCGAACCGCAUGGUUCGAUAGUGAAAGGUGGUUUUGCUAUCACUUAUAGAUGGACCUGCGCCGUAUUAGCUAGUUGGUAAGGUAACGGCUUACCAAGGCGACGAUACGUAGCCGACCUGAGAGGGUGAUCGGCCACACUGGAACUGAGACACGGUCCAGACUCCUACGGGAGGCAGCAGAC